UGGGGAAUAUUGCACAAUGGGCGCAAGCCUGAUGCAGCCAUGCCGCGUGUGUGAAGAAGGCCUUCGGGUUGUAAAGCACUUUCAGCGGGGAGGAAGGCGAUAAGGUUAAUAACCUUGUCGAUUGACGUUACCCGCAGAAGAAGCACCGGCUAACUCCGUGCCAGCAGCCGCGGUAAUACGGAGGGUGCAAGCGUUAAUCGGAAUUACUGGGCGUAAAGCGCACUCAGGCGGUCUGUCAAGUCGGAUGUGAAAUCCCCGGGCUCAACCUGGGAACUGCAUUCGAAACUGGCAGGCUAGAGUCUUGUAGAGGGGGGUAGAAUUCCAGGUGUAGCGGUGAAAUGCGUAGAGAUCUGGAGGAAUACCGGUGGCGAAGGCGGCCCCCUGGACAAAGACUGACGCUCAGGUGCGAAAGCGUGGGGAGCAAACAGG
rnacentral:rRNA from 1 species